CCAGAACUCUGAUGGAUCCAAGCCAGAGAAACAGCAAGCAGGGCUUCCUCCCACGCCCAGAGGAGGAGCCAAUCCAUACCUCAGAUUAUUGCAAUGAGGUAGAUACCAAGGAGGUUUCAGGUGUCCUCCAGACUGCAGGAUCCAUGGUCACUCCUAGUGUGCACUGGUCCCAGCAGCAGGGGCAGGGAUGGGACCCUGCAGCGUGGCUGAACUCCAGGCUGCUGCUGCCACGGCCAACCAUGGAGAACCUGAGCAAAUGGGCCACCUCCAAGGAGCCCCAGCUGGCCAGCAGCCAUGGGAGGGUCUGCAAGGACCAGUGGGAGGCAGAUGAUUCUGCUGACAACGUGCUGGAGAUGGAGUUCAUGCAGAAACAGGUACAGGUGUUGUCCCCAGUACUGGAAUGGAACUGAACUUCCCCUGAUUUUCAGUUGUGUAUCUGUGCAUUUCAUGUGUACAUGUGUGAAGAGCACUGUGCAGAAGUUGAGGAGAUUGAAGAUCUAACCAGACUGGAGGAAGUGUCUGAGAGCUCAGUCCUGCUGUGCCUGAAGAAGAGGUUCCAUCAAAAUCUCAUUUAUACUUACAUUGGGCAAAUUUUGAUUUCGGUGAAUCCUUUCAAAGACCUGAGUAUCUACUCUGAAGAUGUGGCUACUGAGUACCAGCAAGGGACUCUCUCAAAAAAUGCCCCACACAUCUUUGCCAUAGCAGAGAUGGCCUACACGCUGUCCCAGUCAUCAGGGCAGGAGCAGUGUGUCCUCAUCAGUGGACACAGUGGAUCAGGUAAAACAGAAGCUGCCAAAGCCAUUGUGCAAUACCUGACCACGCUGUACCAGGGAUCUGACAGCCACAGGAUCAGACAG